rnacentral:rRNA from 1 species
UACAGAGGGUGCAAGCGUUGUUCGGAAUUAUUGGGCGUAAAGGGCGCGUAGGCGGUGCGGUAAGUCUUUUGUGAAAUCUCCGGGCUCAACUCGGAGUCUGCAGGAGAAACUGCCGUGCUGGAGUAUGGGAGAGGUGAGUGGAAUUCCCGGUGUAGCGGUGAAAUGCGUAGAUAUCGGGAGGAGCACCUGUGGCGAAAGCGGCUCACUGGACCAUUACUGACGCUGAGGCGCGAAAGCUAGGGGAGCAAACAGG